rnacentral:lncRNA from 1 species
GGCAUGUGAAGAGCUCUAAAGAACUAAAUCUUAAGGCUAUGCAGUUAGCUUACUAAUCAGUAAUAUGUAGCAAAAUUAAGACUUGGCUGAUAGAAAUUGGAAAAGUUUCAAAUUGGGAACUGUUGCUAUUCCUAAAAGUGGCUCUAGAACAUCCUGGGAGCAGUGCUAAGUCAGCAACUACUGGACCCGGAAGCUUCAUUCUUCAUUGAGCAGACGCUGCCUGGAAGCUACAAUUGCUGCAAAGUGGUAACGAGGGGGCCUCCAUAGGCCACAGAUUCCGGAAUCAAGAACAGUUUGCCCAGUCUAAGAAAAUGUUGUUUGCGGAGCAUUGUAUUUCUGCCUUUUUACAGGGUAAUUCCUGUUUGCAUCAGAAAGUAUUUUACAAAGUGGAUCCUUGUGGCUGAGGCAUUUUCAGAUACCAGGCAGAGAGCCAUCUGGAUGAGACUUCA